rnacentral:lncRNA from 1 species
CAGUCUCAAGGGCUCACUGUGGCACCUGACAUCUGCAGGUCUCAUGCCUCAACAGCAGGUGGUGAAAUAACCCACAUUUGGGACCAGUGUUGUGGGUGCAGCGAGUUAAGCCAGCAUUGCCUAGGGGUGCCGGUUCGAGUCCCUGAUGCUCCACUUCUGAGCCAGCUUCCAGCUCAGGCACCUGGGAAAGCAGUGGAAGAUGGCCCAAGUGCUCAGGCCCCUGCAACCCAAGGGGGAGAUACAGAUGGAGUUCCAGGUUCCUGGCUUCUGCCUGGCCCAGCCCCAGCCAUUGUGGAUGUCUGGGGGAAUGAACCAGUGGAUGGAAGAUCUCUCUCUCUCCCUCCCUCCCUCUCUCCUUCUCUCUCUCUUUCCCUCUCUACCUCUGUGUGUGUGUGUGCAUGUGCAUCUAACUCUGCCUUUCAAAUAACUAAACAAGUAAAAGAAAUACCUACAUUUCUCCAGUUUCGAAUCCAUCAUGUCGCGACACUGGCCCUCCUGUGUGUUACCAGCGCCCCACUCACACCACAUGAAAUUCACCACUUGAGCUUGACAACUCCCAAAUCAUGGUCAACAAGAAAGUACCCGUCCAUCUCCCAUGUGUGGGUGCCAGGGCAAUGCAAAAUGACCACAGAUCUUCCUAAGAAGGUCCUUUCCACCUCCUUGUCUUCAAGACGGCCCCUGGCCCGCCAUGAGCAGCCCUGGCCUGCACCUGCACCUCCCCGGGUCAGACAGCCCCGUGUGGCUGCCGUCAGAACAGUAGGGCAGUGGGGAGGUGAAGGAGCUCCCUGCUCCUUCUUUCUUCGUUUGGCAAAUGUCAUAGCAGACGCCAAGGCCGAGAGCAGAAUACCACGUCAGGUUGGAUGCUGUGACGCUGUGUCCCAGAGCUCCGAUGAUCACACUUCCCUGCAAGGACAGAUCUCUGCUCCCUGCAGCAGCCGCGUGGCCAGGAGGCUGCGCAAGACCAGAGUUCCUCUGGCCCUCCUCUUGGAAGAUAGCGUGAACCUCGCUCUCCCAGUCUUUCUCCCUGGGGGACACCUGGCUGUCCAGUGGGGAGAGAGUCUUCAGUGGCGUAUUCCCAGACAAGCACUCGGGUUUUGUUGUGAUGGGGGACAACUCUCAUCUGUUAUAUUUUAG